rnacentral:tRNA from 1 species
UAGGUAAUAUAAAAUUUAACUGUUAAUUAAAUUAUGUUAUUAAUAUAACUUAUCUAG